UCUCAGUGGGCAAGGUCCUCCUUUUAUAUCUUAAGGGGAUACCACAUGCACCAUCCCCCCCUCUCUGUGGGGACUUACCCUACCUUUUCAUAAAUGGACGGAGAUUUGCAUGGUUGCCGUUCGAGUCACCUUCUGAUGGGACGGCCCGCACCUACCUCCACUUUCGCCGGGAGCAGGCGCGACGCGGAAUCAUGGCUGUCUGCUGACGACAUGACCGGUGCUGACGACAUGACCGGUGUCAGACUGGUCACAAAUCGGUCAUUCUUGUCCACCACGCGUCAGCUUAGCAAUCUGUACGUUGGCCCUUCUUCACACAACAUUUUGCCUGUAAUGGUUAGGAUGAAGCCUGGCAUAUAUCUGACCAGGACUAACGUGCCAUCUCUGGGAGGUAACACGCUAGCUCCAGCUGGGGACGAGCGCCUAGAAGCCCUCGUCCUGACGGGAUGGGGCGAGGCGUGCGUCAGAUCGCCUGUCGCCACCUAACCCGCGAUCUGACCGGUCUGUGACUAGUCACAGACCGGAUAAAUGAGUGCACUGCACUGCGUUACAUGCGGCGUGACACGCUCAGCCAAACCGCAAUAAAUGUGGUUAGGUGAGCCCCACUGUGCUCACCUAACCCAUACACGCGGAGCGAAAACCCACGAGGGGUCGGGGCGCCUCGGCCCUCGGGGCCAAGGCGGGAGCGGUCCGACCCCCUCGGGGAGACAAAGAGGAGGGCGAACACAUCACCCUCGGGCCCGACGCCCCCCGAGGGUGCCAGGCCACGUGGGCGAUUGUGUCUGUCUCAAGCCUCUAUUCAUGAUACUCCCGGUCCCAUGUCACCGACAGUAGCCCCCGGCGUUAUGCCAGGGCGAUCGCCCUCCCCGAGGGAAGCGGUCGGGCGUGACGCCACUUCUAAGGCCUGGUGACAGGUGGGGCCGGUUCCUACAGGUGCCGUCGAACUACAUCACCCAGAGGGCGGUGUGAGGCAGCUGCGAUGGGCUCGAGCUGGCCUGGGGGGCGGAGACGAGCUCGGGAGCUGGGGUCCACUCCGCCACAAAGUCGGCGAGGGCCUGGCUCUUGAUCGCGUGGCUUGGUUCAAAGCGCAAAUCGAAUUCAGAGAGUUCGAUUGCCCAUUCCACCACCCGUCCAGUACCCUCUCGGUUAUACAAGAUUUGGCCGAGGGGAUAAGACGUAACCACCGUGACCCGAUGCGCCUGGAAAUAAUGGCGCAACUUCCUCGAAGUUAUCAGGAUAGCGUAAAGCAUCUUCUGGGCCUGAAGGUAUCGGGUCUCAGCGUCCCGGAGGGCCUCGCUAACGAAGUAGACGGGCCGCUGCACCUUUCGGCGGGGCCGAUCUUCUUCGUCAGGGGCCACAUCUCCAGGGCGCUCUCCAUCCGAGAGGCCACGCGGGGCGCACUCGGCUUCUGUGCCGACGACCUCGGGGUCAGAGGGCGACAGGCGCGGCCUUCCCGCAGUGGCCUCGGGGCCAUCCUGGGGGUCGGGGGCGCCUGGCACCGUCGGACAAGCAGGCGGAGGGCCAGCUCCGGCCGUCGGGGGCCUUGGGCCGCCGUUCGGCUCGGGGGCCUCUCCUCCCUGCUCUCUCUCUCUUCGGGCAGAAUCCCGGCGGUCGCAAAUCGCGCGCAUCAGCAAGGGAAAAACGACCGACAAUAAUGAGCGGCCCCUCGGCUCGCGUUUGCCUUCAACCCCGACGAGGAGUGCGGUGACGACGGUGCGGACGACAGCGACGGCGAGGCCGGCUACCCGGGCGCGUCGGAGUGAGCCCCCAGGCCUCCGCCAAUCUUAAUAGCUUUUCCUUCUUCUUCCGAGGCCUUCGGGCCCCCUUCUUGUUAUAGGCUGAUUUAAUCUGCAAUCAAAUAAAGAGGAAAUUUUUGUGUCAAUUUCAUUUGUUCUGUGUAUGAGACGAGGAUGGUCUGUGCCACGGUCCUUCUGUGUCUUGGCUUGAACAAGGGCUCGUGCCCAGGCCCCAGCCUCAAACGGCGCGGGUCAAGGCUAGUGCCUGGGGAGAUCCACAUGUCGAGACUGGCCAGGCCGGGAGCGUGGUGACCGAGGGUUAUGGGUGACCCGAUUGUGGGUUUUUGCCGAUUCCCCCCCGGAGUUCACCACGUCCCGGGGCAUGGCUCGGUUCUGGGCCCCUUUUGGCGAUUUUAGCCGACCCGAGCCCCCGAGGGUAGGAUUGAGCACGAGUGACCUAUUUCAAGUCAAGAUUCUUCAAAAGGAAACAAAAGCACAGACACAGCCUUUAGGAAAUCGAAAAUGCUUUUAUUGAAAUACGGAAGAGAAAAAAGAUAAGCCCCCGGCCAACCCUGCACGCCCGGGGGGGUGCGGAGUUGGCCCGAGCCCAAGACCUGACACCCGACCCCCACUAGGGGUAGAAGCGACGAAGGUGUUCGAUGUUCCACGGGUUAGGCAGCUCUGUGCCGUCGCCCGUGGCCAGCCGAACGGAGCCCGGCCGGGGGACGCCGAUCACUCGAUACGGACCCUCCCACAUUGGUGAGAGUUUGCUCAGUCCAGCACGCGUUUGGACACGGCGUAGGACGAGGUCGUCGACGCAGAGUGAUCGGGCCCGGACGUGGCGCUGAUGGUAGCGCCGCAGGCUCUGCUGGUAGCGCGCGGCUCGAAGGGCCGCGCGCCGCCUUCGCUCUUCCAAGUAGCCGAGGUCAGGGAGCGUCGGCUUCCUUCUUUUUGUCGCUCGCAGGCCUCCCCUUUCGGGUGGCCCGCGGAGCGCCCUCGACGGCGAGGACAUGACCCUCGUCGUCGGUAUGGGCUGACCUCUUCUUCCUCCUCCUGUCACGCCGCCCUGUCUGAGCGGCGGAUCCGAGGGCGGCCGAAGCUGCCACACCGGAACCGGAGGGGUUCCAGGUCCAUGCCUCCUCCUUGCGAGCCACUCGGUCCGCGAGCUGAAAAAGCUCCGCGGUAGUCUGGGGCUCCUUGGAGGCGAUCUUUUCGAGCAUGCGGUUGUGCCGCACGCCCCCCCUGAACGCGUAGAUUACCACGUGCGCAGGGAUGCAUGGUAUGGUGUUGCGGACUUGACAGAACCGCUGAAUGUACGAGCGAAGUGACUCAUCAUCCCUUCGCUGUACUGCGUGUAAGUCCGCUUCUUCACCUGGGCGCGGAUAUGUGCCCUGAAAGUUCAUGGUGAACUGUUGGCACAAAUCCUCCUAGGAGUGGACUGACGCGGGUGGCAAGUUCAUUAGCCAACCCCGCGCCUGCCCCUUCAGGGCCAUGGGAAAGAAAUUCGCCAUGACCCUGUCGUCACCCCCGGCGGCCUCAAUCCCGGUCGUGUAGACCUGGAGAAACUCGGCGGGGUUGACGCUGCCAUCAUAUUUUUCGGCGAUGGUGGGCCGGAACCUUGGGGGCCAACGGACAUUCCGAAGACUCGCCACAAAGGCUCUACAGCCGACACCACCAACCGGGGGCACGGAGGGCUGAUUCCCGCGUCCGUGCUGAGGUGACACUCUGGACGAGGAAGCGCCCUCCGUUGCGUGGGUAGCACGUCGGUCAUUACGCCGCCGCUCGAUGCUGGUGCGGGCGUCCGGCCUCCCUCGCAGAUCUUUCCGGGCCGAAGGAGUCGACGAAGGAGUGGUGGCCGAAUGGCGAACGGCGGCUGCCGCUCGCCGCGCCCUUCGUCUUGACGACGCGGAGCCGGUGGUAGCAGCACCAGAGGCCUUGGUGGCGGAGGACCGCCCACCAGCAUCUAUACACUGCCGUGCAGUCAUGACCAAUUUGGCCACAUCGUCCAGCCAGCGUUGGGCUGGAGACUCCGGGUCAUGGGCGACGGGCGGGUGACGUAGGAGCGCGCCCGCAGCUUGGAGCGCGCCCUGGGGCGUGCUGCCGUCACCAUAGACGAGGAAGCGACGCUCCCCAUCUCGCCGCCCCUUUCCACCUCCUGUGGAUGUCGAAGUCGCGGAUCCUUCGGCCCUCUCGAGCGCCUCCCCCUGCUUAGGACUUUGGCGUGGAGGGGGCGGUGGAGUACGAGCUCGACGGCGUGGGUUCGGCUCCCCGUCGUCGCCACUCACACUCGGAGAGAGGUCGUGCGCCUUUGCUUGCUCAGCCAUGAGGCUGAACAGGAAAAGCUUGGCGCACACGAAAGAGUGCAAGAGCUCAGAAGAUCACUCGCAGAGUCCCCUACCUGGCGCGCCAGAUGACGGAGCGUGGGGCUCCUCACCGGGAGACCGCGCUGGCCCCCCUUUGCCGGUUCGGCCGGGGACCCUGGGUGAGACUCCAAGCUCCCAAUCUGUGGAAGGUUCGCGAGACAGGAAGCACAGAAGACGCCGGCGAUGUAUACAGGUUCAGGCCGCUGAGAAGCGUAAUACCCUACUCCUGUGUUUUGGGAGAUCUGUGUGUGAAGGAGCUACAAAGUAUCAGCCAGCCUCUCCCUUGUUCUGGGUUCCCAAUCUGGAAAAGUCCAGUCCAAAAACCCAAAAACCUCCCUCUCAGUGGGCAAGGUCCUCCUUUUAUAUCUUAAGGGGAUACCACAUGCACCAUCCCCCUCUCUCUGUGGGGACUUACCCUACCUUUUCAUAAAUGGACGGAGAUUUGCAUGGUUGCCGUUCGAGUCACCUUCUGAUGGGACGGCCCGCACCUACCUCCACUUUCGCCGGGAGCAGGCGCGACGCGGAAUCAUGGCUGUCUGCUGACGACAUGACCGGUGUCAGACUGGUCACAAAUCGGUCAUUCUUGUCCACCACGCGUCAGCUUAGCAAUCU
rnacentral:lncRNA from 1 species